GAUGAACGCUAGCGGCAGGCUUAACACAUGCAAGUCGAGGGGUAGAGGAAGCUUGCUUCCUUGAGACCGGCGCACGGGUGCGUAACGCGUAUGCAACCUACCUUUUACAGAGGGAUAGCCCAGAGAAAUUUGGAUUAAUACCUCAUGGUAUAUAUCAUUCGCAUGUUUGAUAUAUUAAAGUUCCAACGGUAAAGAUGGGCAUGCGUCCUAUUAGCUAGAUGGUAAGGUAACGGCUUACCAUGGCAACGAUAGGUAGGGUCCUGAGAGGGAGAUCCCCCANACUGGUACUGAGACACGGACCAGACUCCUACGGGAGCAGCAGUGAGGAAUAUUGGACAAUGGGCGCAAGCCUGAUCCAGCCAUGCCGCGUGCAGGAAGAAGCAUCUAUGGUGUGUAAAACUGCUUUUGUACGGGAAGAAACACUCCUUCGUGAAGGAGCUUGACGGUACCGUAAGAAUAAGGAUCGGCUAAUCCGUGCCAGCAGCCG
rnacentral:rRNA from 1 species